rnacentral:rRNA from 1 species
GUAGGUGGCAAGCGUUGUCCGGAAUUAUUGGGCGUAAAGCGCGCGCAGGCGGUCCUUUAAGUCUGAUGUGAAAGCCCACGGCUCAACCGUGGAGGGUCACUGGAAACUGGGGGACUUGAGUACAGAAGAGGAAAGCGGAAUUCCAAGUGUAGCGGUGAAAUGCGUAGAGAUUUGGAGGAACACCAGUGGCGAAGGCGGCUUUCUGGUCUGUAACUGACGCUGAGGCGCGAAAGCGUGGGGAGCAAACAGGAUUAGAUACCCUGGUAGUCCACGCCGUAAACGAUGAGUGCUAAGUGUUAGGGGGUUUCCCGCCCCCCUUAGUGCUGCAGCUAACGCAUUAAGCACUCCGCCUGGGGAGUACGGCCGCAAGGCUG